rnacentral:rRNA from 1 species
AUGGAGAUGGUUGUAUCUGCGAUUGCAGGCGACCUAGUUAAUCGGUUCAUAUCCUUCUUGAUAAAGAAGCACGAGAGCCAUGCAAAUCUAGAGAAGAAGGCGGAAAGGCUACAACAACUGCUUCGUCGUGUUCACAUGGUCGUCGAGGAGGCCGAGGGGCGAUACAUCACCAACUCCAGAAUUUUGCUUGAGCUCAAGAGGCUCGCGGAGGCCAUGUACCAAGGUUAUCAUGUCCUGGACACCAUCAAAUACAGGGACCUUUGCAGCUCAAGGGCCGAAAAGGAGGUUAGCAGCAGCUCCAAUGCCUUGUCACUCGUGAAUUCUAUCAACUGCUUUCAUGCCAGUUCUAUCAACUGCUUUCAUGCCACUAGGAGCACUACAAUAUUUGAUCACCUUGAAAGUGCACUGGAGAACUUAGAAGCCAUGGUUUCUAACAUGACAGAGUUCGUCUUUCUUGUGGGAGGAUGUGAACGCAUGUCCCGAAGCCCUUAUGACACGUACCUUUACACUGAUAACUUCAUGUUUGGACGCCAAGUAGAGCAACAGCAAAUUAUGAGUGUUUUGCUGCAAGAAAAUAUUCCUCCUUUUGCUCCAACUGUCCUUCCCAUCAUCAGCACCAAUAGAGUGGGCAAGAAAACUCUAGUCGCACAUGUUUGUAACAACGAUAGAGUUCAGUCACACUUCUCCUCAAUCUUGCGCCUGAAUGGAGAAAGCAUUCGCAGAACUGAACUUCAACAAGAUUUCAUACCAGCUGGGAGGACUUUGGUUGUGGUUGAAUUUACUUCAGACAUAGAUGAUGAGAGUUGGCAAAAGUUCUAUUCCGCAGCCAGGCGUAUGGGCGAAGGAAGCAAGAUCAUAGUCAUAAGUAGGAUUGAGAGCGUGUCGAGGCUCGGAACCAUAUGGCCAAUGCACAUAAAUAGCUUGUCGCUCGAGGAGUACAGUUACCUCUUCAAGGUCCUUGCAUUCGGAAGCACGAAUCCAGACGAUAACCCCCGGCUAUCAUUGAUAGCGAGUGAACUAGCUGUGCUGAUGGGAGGUUCGCUCGUGGUAGCAAAUGUGUGCGCCGAUAUCUUCAGAAAGAACCAGAAUGUUCAGUUCUGGCAACGUAUCCUGAACAAGUACAAAAACGUGGUGGCAAACAACCUCUCAGUGUUCCGUGAACAUCCAAAGCUUCUCAUGGAGAGAGAUCGCCAAGUGGAUAUAGCAAAACUUGUGUCGUCGACCUCUUCUCCGCUUCGCCUCAUGCCACCGCACUGUGAAGACGACGAUUGUACGAGGGAUUUGCCCAAGGUGAGGUUUGGGGACUUGAUCGCCGGCUCGGUUGUUCCACCGAAGGAGGAGUUUGAGUUAGUAGCAUGGGAGUCGCGGAUACCGCCGAAUAAAAAGUAUGUUAACGUUGCUAAAUUCUCUGGUGAGGUGAAUGUUUCUGAACGUGCGGUCUUGCCUAGCAAGAAGCACAGAAGAUUUAAUCAGAACAAGUAG